rnacentral:rRNA from 1 species
CGUCCAGACUCCUACGGGAGGCAGCAGUGGGGAAUAUUGCACAAUGGGGGAAACCCUGAUGCAGCGACGCCGCGUGAGCGAAGAAGUAUUUCGGUAUGUAAAGCUCUAUCAGCAGGGAAGAAAUUGACGGUACCUGAGUAAGAAGCUCCGGCUAAAUACGCGCCAGCAGCCGCGGUAAUACGUAUGGAGCAAGCGUUAUCCGGAUUUACUGGGUGUAAAGGGGGCGUAGACGGCCAAGCAAGCCAGGGGUGAAAGCCCGGGGCCCAACCCCGGGACUGCCCUUGGAACUGCAUGGCUGGAGUGCGGGAGGGGCAGGCGGAAUUCCUGGUGUAGCGGUGAAAUGCGUAGAUAUCAGGAGGAACACCAGUGGCGAAGGCGGCUUGCUGGACGAUGACUGACGUUGAGGCUCGAAAGCGUGGGGAGCAAACAGGAUUAGAUACCCCCGUA